AAUAACAACAGCAUCUCCUUUCCCUCUCUCCAUUCUGAGAUUCGUUCCUCUCUCCUCCUCAUUGUUGUUAUCUCCCUCACUCGAAAGAAACUAAAUAACAAGUAUCAGGACAAUAUCCAUUUUAUCAGUGCAAAAGAAAGAAAAAGAGGUGAAGUUAUACCUACACGAAUCAACAAAUCAACGCGAACUCAGGACAAAAAUUAUGUCCAAGAGGAGCAGAGUUGCUGCACAUAACUUGGGGCCUCACAAAGACUAAAUUUGUUAAAAUUACUCCUAAGUGCAAACAAGUUGUAAUUCCUUUUUCUGUUUUGAAAUGUUAUUGUAAAAUUAAACAUAUGAUACAUUGAAGUGCUUCUUGUUUUGAAAAACCUAGUUACGGGAAGAACUUGUUGUAUGCA